rnacentral:rRNA from 1 species
UACGGGGGGGGCAAGCGUUGUUCGGAAUCACUGGGCUUAAAGGGCGCGUAGGCGGGUGCUCAAGUCCGUGGUGAAAUCCUCCGGCUCAACCGGAGAACUGCCUCGGAUACUGGGCGUCUCGAGUGUGGUAGGGGUAUGCGGAACUAUCGGUGGAGCGGUGAAAUGCGUUGAUAUCGAUAGGAACUCCGGUGGCGAAGGCGGCAUACUGGACCACCACUGACGCUGAUGCGCGAAAGCCAGGGGAGCAAACGGG